rnacentral:lncRNA from 1 species
AGGGGCAGCUGCAGGCAGGAGGGCAGGAGGAUUUGAGCAGCUGGGCUAAGGUCAGGCACAGAGGCUUGGGCUCAGCAGACAGCCAAAUGCUCGGCCCAGCUGCUACUGCCUCUUUCUGGGCCCUGUGCAGGAGGCAGACGCUGGCUGCCAGGCUGGCGGGCUCCCCUCCACGGCUGCAAGGCCACCCAGGCCCAGGGGUCUGCUCUUCCCUCUCCUCCUGCUGAAUGGCAUUCUUUCCUUUUCUUUCUCUGUCUCCUCACUCUCCCUUUCCUUCUAUUCCUUUUCUCCCUCAUCUCUUUGUGUCUUCAUUUCUGUCUUUGUCUUAUCCUAUGUCUCUCUUCUUUGUAUUUUUUCCCUCCCUCUCUCAGUUUCUUGGCCUCUCUUCAUCUCUCUGUCUCUGGGUUAAAAGUUGUAGGAAAAGGAUAGGAGGUGGGGCCCAAGAGGAAUCCCAGAUGAAACUGAGCUGAGCUCCUACUACGAUUUCAAUGUCUGUGUUUCCCCAAAAUUUAUAUGUCGAUCCCUAAUCUCCAGUGCAAUAGUAUUAGGAGGUGGGGCCUUUGGAAAGUGACUAGGUCAUGAGAGUGGAGCCCUCAUGAAUGCAACCAUAAGAGAGGCCUGAAGGAACUGUUUGCACCUUCUGCCAUGUGAGGUCAUAGCUACAAGGCGCUAUCUAUGAAUGUAUGAACAAGAAAGUGGGCUGUCAUCAGACAUCACACCUGCCACCACCUUGAUCUUGAACUUCCAGCCUCCAGAACUCACCUGGCAUGACAGUAAAUUCAUGCAUAAAUGCCCAAGGUCACAGAGCUGGGAUGAGAACCCAAGGCCUUCAGAAUGUCCAUCAAACUGUCGCUUCCUGACCUCUCGAAAUCACAGAAGCAAGAUCAGAUUCUAGGACUGAAAGGGGAAGAAACAGAAUGUAAGUCCAGUGCCCCAGGUUAACAGAAGAGGAAACAGAGGCCCAGAUAGGGCAAGACCCAUGUCCAAGCCCACAGAAGCAGUUAGUUCUGGCCGAGCCAGGCCCGACUCCCUGCCCAUCCUCCUGUAGUCUUAUAAAACUCAUCCCUUUGCUACCUGCAGGGGACUAAGGGAGUGCCUCUCUCUGGCUGCAGCUGGGUGGUUUUGUAGAGGAUGUGGCUGAGAGUUCGUCAGCUGUGGCCCCACUCAGACAGCUCUCUGUCCAUGGGUGGCUUUGUAUUGGAGUGUGCUAUCAAAGGACUUGACCUGGAUCGAACCAAUGGCCAAUUACGCCUUCCUGUGGUGCACUGAGCUGAGCUUACUCAAGGCUGACAGGCUGAGGGGGUAAACAACAGUGCAUGGGCAUGCCAUCCAAAUCACCCUACCUAUCCAAGCCUGGCGUGCAGCCAGGCAUCCAUUAGCUGUGUUACUCACUGGCUCUCCUUCAACCAUCAUUAGUCUCUCUGUUGUAAACAUGAGAAAAAAUGAAGUUCAGAGAGGAGAGGUAAGCAGCCUUAAGUUACACAGCUGGUAAGUGGAUAAACCAGGAUGCCAAGCCAGGCCUGCUGGAAUGCAAACCCAUACUCUCCCUGCUUUACAAAAAUCCCUACAUUCUGCAAGAGAGGCACUGAGUCUCCUCAUCUAGCACCUGUCUGUGGGGCCUCACUUUCCUCAUCUGUGAAAUGGGUGGGGUAUGAGAAAAGUACUCACUGGCCAGCCAGGACAAGGCACGAGUGGCAGCCAGGCUGGGGGCUGAAAAGAAUGGGAGCCAAGUCAAGAGCUCUCCCAUCAUUUCCAAGGGCACAGUAUUAACUCCCACAUUUGCCCAUCAUUUGUUCAAGCAAAACCUUGUUCACCAAGGCCCAGUGAGGGUCUGGAUGCCCAGAGGAGACUUUGGUCUGGAAGGAGGAAAUACUCUUUCUAUACCCAUAAAACCAGUGAGCACAGAAAAACAUGCCAGGUGCAAUGUUCCCUGGCAAUGUCUCCCAGAAAAUUCCAAAUCCUUCAGUGCUUGGUGAAGGGAAAAGCAGAUUUUGUGGAUAAUUGCUUUAGGAAAACCCUGAGUUGAAUGAAGCUCAGCAGAUGACUGCAGGACUUUUCAGAGCCUUUAAAAUGCUAACAAGCUUUCUAGUUCACCAAGAGAAGUGGAAUGUUUUCGAAACAUACUUGAUCAUGCAAAGUGUUUCAGAGCAUUUCAGAAGAACAAUGCCUGUGUUAUACCCUUUAGAAAACCCUGUGCUGGGGAAGAGGAAAGUAGGAAGAGCUACAGUAUAUAUUUAAUUUACGGUAAAGAGGCAAGUAAAUUAGAGGAGGACAUAUAUUGCCAAAUGAGGGGACAGCUUUUUCAGAAAUGUGGCAUUAAAAAUGCACAGGCUUCCCUCUCCCUCUCCCUCUCCCUGCCCUCUCCCUCUCCCUCUCCCUGCCCUCUCCCUCUCCCUCUCCCCACGGUCUCCCUCUCCCUCUCUUUCCACAGUCUCCCUCUGAUGCCGAGCCGAAGCUGGACUGUACUGCUGCCAUCUCGGCUCACUGCAACCUCCCUGCCUGAUUCUCCUGCCUCAGCCUACCGAGUGCCUGCGACUGCAGGCGCGUGCCGCCACGCCUGACUGGUUUUCGUAUUUUUUUGGUGGAGACGGGGUUUCACCGUGUUGGCCGGGCUGGUCUCCAGCUCCUAACCGCGAGUGAUCUGCCAGCCUUGGCCUCCUGAGGUGCCGGGAUUGCAGAUGGAGUCUGGUUCACUCAGUGCUCAAUGGUGCCCAGGCUGGAGUGCAGUGGCGUGAUCUCGGCUGGCUACAACCUCCACCUCCCAGCCGCCUGCCUUGGCCUCCCAAAGUGCCGAGAUUGCAGCCUCUGCCCGGCCGCCACCCCGUCUGGGAAGUGAGGAGCGUCUCUGCCUGGCCGCCCAUCGUCUGGGAAGUGAGGAGCCCCUCUGCCUGGCUGCCCAGUCUGGAAAGUGAGGAGCAUCUCUGCCCGGCCGCCAUCCCAACUAGGAAGUGAGGAGCGCCUCUUCCCGGCCGCCAUCCCAUCUAGGAAGUGAGGAGCGUCUCUGCCCGGCCGCCCAUCGUCUGAGAUGUGGGGAGCGCCUCUGCCCCACCGCCCCAUCUGGGAUGUGAGGAGUGCCUCUACCCGGCCGCGACCCCGUCUGGGAGGUGAGGAGUGUCUCUGCCCGGCCGCCCUGUCUGAGAAGUGAGGAGACCCUCCACCUGGCAACCGCCCAGUCUGAGAAGUGAGGAGCCCCUCUGCCCGGCAGCCGCCCCGUCUGAGAAGUGAGGAGCCCCUCCGCCCGGCAGCCACCCCAUCUGGGAAGUGAGGAGCGUCUCCACCCAGCUGCCACCCCGUCCGGGAGGGAGGUGGGCAUAUCAAUCACAGUGGUCCAAUGAGCCUUGAGCCAGAACUUCUGCUGGGAUUACUGGAAAAAAAGCUCAUUUAUUGCCAGAGUUCCUGCAAGCUUGGAGCUGCUAGAGGCCAUCUUUGCAACCUCGUGGGGAGAUCUUUCGGGAAAAUGAAACCAUCACAAAGGCAAGCAGAGUCUAGAGACUGAAACAGAUUUCUGUCAACAUCCUAUGGGCCCUUGCUCCCAGCCAUGCCUGAAGUUGGCUGUACCUCCGGGACCUAGACAUUUUAGUUACUCAAAAUAAUAAAUUCUCUUGUGUCCGAAACCAAUUUGAAUUAGGAUUCUGUCACUGGCAACUGACAGAAUCAACUGCCUAACAACAGUUAUAAAACAUAGUCCCAUACAGGUUUUUUGUUGUUGUUCUUCAACAAAUUGUUCUUCAUGCACAUUAUUCAUUCAUUCAAAAUAAUACAUAUUGGACAUGUAUUGUGUACAUGUAACCUAUACCGGUAAGGCUUCCAGGUACAGAUGUUCAAGUUGUGCACUACCCAACUCCAGGGGAUUGGCCUUCAUGUAGUGCACUACCCAACUCCAGGGGAUUGGCCUUCAUGUAGUGGCCCCCUUGGGUUACACAGUGCAGCACCCUUGGGCCAUGGGAAUAUACGAAUAUAUAAAUCAGCCCACCACACAGAAAGGGUCCAUGUCUCACUACAGCCUCUAAACCCUGCCAUUCUCUGGAGUGGUAAGGAAAUGAAGAGACUCUUUACAGUAGGAAAAACAUAAGGUGCGGUAUUAGGACACCUGGAUUGGCAUCUUCACUGUAUUAUUUACUAACCAAGUGUGAUGUUGGAUAAGCCAGUUAAGUUUUCUUAGCUGUUGCUUCUUUAUCUGUAAAAUAGGAAUGAUAAUAUUACCAUCCCUGUUGAAAUCCUUUUUUUUUUUUUUUUUUUUUUUUUGAGACGGAGUCUUGCUCUGUCACCCAGGCUGGAGUGCAGUGGCACAAUCUCAGCUCACUGCAAGCUCCGCCUCCCGGGUUCAUGCCAUUCUCCUGCCUCAGCCUCCCGAGUUGCUGGGACUACAGGCACCCACCAUCAUGCCCGGCUAAUUUUUUGUAUUUUUAGUAGAGGUGGGGUUUCACCAUGUUAGCCAGGAUGGCCUUGAUCUCCUGACCUCGUGAUCUGCCCGCCUCAGCCUCCCAAAGUGCUGGGAUUACAGGCAUGAGCCAUCGCGCCCGGCGGAAAUCCUUCCUAUCCUUCAAAGCCCAACACGAUCACCACCUCCUCCAAGAAGCCUUGCCUGAUUGUCUCCGUGGCCACAAAGUGGUGACUCAGGAGGAAAAGAGAGAAGUAAAGGCGCAUCAUGGGUGAAGAAAUGACCUGAGAACUUGAAAUCCAAGCCCGGCCCAUGCAGGCUGUUUUUCUUAGUCCUUCCUCGCAGCAGGGCUGAGGUGGGAGAAACCGGCUGUAAGCACACUCAGUGGGAUGAUUUGUGGAUCGCCUCCUGGACACCUCAGAGUGCUACCUUGAGUGAGGGGAGAACAGCUGUCCUCUCAUCUCAUCACCUAGAAUAAGAGAGAAGGCCUGUCUGUCACCUGCACCACCAAAGCUUGAGCACUAUCAAUUUGGGAAGAAGCGGCUGUAGUGGUCAUCCAGACAGCACCUAACUCCCCAGGGAAGCAGGCUCCAUUCUUCUCAUCCCUACCUGUUUUUCCCAUGGGUAGGGGGUGUGGAUAAACUGUGGAAGGCAGAAAUGACACCCCUGGCUUGUCAUCAUCCCCCAGAUUUCAGGGUGGAGGGACUCUCGCAGUCACCCAACCUGCCUGCUCUCUGGGGCUGACCUGCCUUCCCACUGGGACCCCUCCCUCCCAUCCAGGCCCAUUGGCUGGCCCCCCGAGCAGGAGGGAAAACACCCUCCAGCCCAUGGGAUUUGUUGCUUUCUUUCCCUCUCCACAGGGACCUGACAAGCCUCCAGUCCAGCUCUGUUCCAAAGCCUUCCAGACUCCCUGAUGUCUGCAUUUGCAUGGAAUCCAAUCUUCUACACAACCCCCUCACCUCCAGCCCAGCCCUUUCUUCAAACCCCCAGCCUAGAGCUGAUAGAGCCACCGAAGCAGAGAAGGAGUGGGGGAGGAGAAGUCUGCAAGUGUGCACUGGACCGUGUCCUAAAGUGCCAGCCAGAUGGCCAUCUGUGCGCUUUGGCCUCCCCAGUCCUGCCAGGGAAGGAAGUAUGAAGCCAAAGCCAGAUGAGAGUGAAGACCUGGCCAACAGCCUCUCUGCAGACCCUGCCAAGCACAUGCCACCCCCUCGGUCAUGUGCACACACACACCUGCACACACACACUCUGCUCAGUCCUUCAGCUGGUCAGCGCUGAUGGCUCUUGUGGGGGGCCUCUGCUCUGUCCCGAUCCACCCAUGCUCACAGUCCCCCCUGCAGAAGCACUAGUAAUGCUCAGAGGACUUUCCAAAGCCCCUACGGAACCCAGGGACUGCUCACCCGUGGCUGUUGGUUAUGUCAGAUAUCGGAGAACCAGCCCCAAAGACAGGCUACUGUUGUGGGAAAGCCCAGAACAUAAGACUGCAAGGUCUGGUUCUUUCUGGAAUCACUGCACUCCCUGGAGAAGGCCACACCCCUUCCUCUUUCAGGCUUUAGCUGCGGCAUCUGUAAAAUGGUGAUCCUAACCCCUGUCCUGCCUGCCUUAUGGAGACAGUGAGGAUUAAAUGUGUGUUAGAAAGGAAAGCUCCCUGUAGGUAAGAAAGUGUUGAGCAGACCUCACAACCAAUGCUUUCCGUAUGUGCUUCCAGGAUUUCAGGGAGAUUUUUCUAUUUUCCAUGGGUGUGAUAUGUCUCCAUACAGCCUGGAGCCUAGUAUUUGUGCAGAUAGUCAGGACUGGAAGAGCUCAGAUGUUGGAGAAUUUACUGCAGGCUGGUCCUGUAUAUUGUAUCGGCUUGUCACCUUCCUCGUUCUGCACACUGGAUCUCUGUUAACAUAGCCCCUGACUCUCACAGAACUUAUUGUCAGCUCUAACCCUGUGCUUGUUUUCUGCACUCUGCUGCUAACAUUCCCAGCCCUUGUAUGGAUAGGCCUGGGGCCUCAUGGCACCCUGUUCCCAGGCCUGCAGAAAUCUGCUCUCUGGGAGCACCUCCACCAGACCUGGCUGACCGUGUCCCUGAGCCAGAAGGGGAUUAGAGGCCCCCACUGAGCUGGAGCUGGAGAUUUGGAACAGAAUACCCCCUCCCUUUCAGCUGGGCAAAAAGGAGAAGGAGCAGAGCCAACAGCCCCAGGGCUUCCUGAAGAAACUUUGCACCAGGAGCCUCCCAUUUCCUGGGCUUCUGCUGAUGGAACAAACUUUCCUCGGCCCUUGGCGGCCCAGAUUCUGGAACAGGCUACUCUGCAGUCAGGCACUGUGUGGGGGAAGGGGUGUCAGCCUGGGAUGGCAAGGACAAAGCCCCAGCCCAUGCUGCUCCCCAAUCUCUCCUUCCACCCAACUUGCUCUGUGGCCUCCAGCAAGGCCCUUCUCUUCCUGGGGCCUUAAUUUCCUCAGCUGUAGAAUGAGUCAGGGAAAUAAGAUUGGUCCGGUGAAAUGUCACAGUUGAGUGGGUCUUACAGAGGCAGAUUCUACAUGGAGAAGGGGUGUGGAGCACCACCAUCUUUUCUGAUUCCACUCUCACUUCCCAGCUCUCACAGCCUUAAAGCAAACUCCAGCUGCCCAGACCUCCACUGUGUGCCCUGGGCUCUGGGCCUUGGCUGAUCUGGUAAAUGCUGCCCCCACACGCCAAAAGGACAGAGGAAACAACUAAGAGAGUCCCCAAGGCCCAAGGCUGGAACAAUUUGAGCAACAAAAUACAUCAUGAGAGUAUCAAAUUAUAACUCCUAGAAUAAAAUAAAAAUCCAGGAGUCCACAUGGUUAUAAAUAAGUACCUGAAUAAAUAAAUAAAUGAAGGCAGCUCUUCCUUACAGAAGAGUUCCAAUUAAUAAAUGUGACAUGAACAAGGGAAAUAAAAAAACACCAUUAGAACACCACAGUAAUAAUUAUUGCAGACAAGACGCACUGAUGUAUGCUAAAAUUAAUGGGUGAAAGUUUGAGGAGAAGCAGCAUGUUCGAAUUGUCUCAAAGUAUCUCCCCCAAGAGAUUUACUAAUUAUAAAGGGGAAAGAAAAUACAGUAAUCUGCAGUGGAGAAACCCAGUAGGUGCCACCUUAAUCAAGUGACCAAGUUAACAUCACCAGUAAUAAGACGUAGCAACAUCACCACACGCCCCGAUAGGAUGCACAGAGAAGACAUUUCAUGUAUAUAGUAUUCUUGCCAAAAAAUGCAUAACAUCAAUUUCAUCAUGGGGGGACAAUCAGACUGAGGGGCAUUCUACAAAAUCACCCAUCAGUACCCUUUCAAAUGUCAAGGUCAUGGACGGCAAGGAUGCUCUGAGGAACCAUCACAGAUUGGAGGGGAUUAAGGAGAAUGACAGCUAAAUGAAACGUGAGAGCCUGGAUUGGAUCCUGGAAUAGUGGAAGGAUAUUAAGAGAAAAACUGGUGAACUCUGAAUCAAGUCUGUAUUUUAGUAACAGUAUUGCCCAAUGUUGUUAAUGUAAUGAUUUUGAUAAAUUAUACAAGAUGCUAACAUUAGGGAAAGCUAGGUGAAGGUGUACAGAAACCCUCUGUGCUAUAUUUGUAACUUUUUAAUUUCAAAUAAAAAGUAAAAAAUAAAACUGUUUCAUUC